rnacentral:rRNA from 1 species
UACAGAGGUCCCGAGCGUUGUUCGGAUUCACUGGGCGUAAAGGGUGCGUAGGCGGUUCUGAAAGUCUGAUGUGAAAUCUCCAGGCCCAACCUGGAAACUGCAUUAGAAACUACAGGGGUAGAGGCUUGGAGGGGGAACUGGAAUUCUCGGUGUAGCAGUGAAAUGCGUAGAGAUCGAGAGGAACACCAGUGGCGAAGGCGAGUUCCUGGACAAGUCCUGACGCUGAGGCACGAAAGCCAGGGGAGCAAACAGG